UACGGAGGGGGUUAGCGUUGUUCGGAAUUACUGGGCGUAAAGCGCGCGUAGGCGGACUGGAAAGUUGGGGGUGAAAUCCCAGGGCUCAACCCUGGAACUGCCUUCAAAACUACUAGUCUAGAGUUCGAGAGAGGUGAGUGGAACUCCGAGUGUAGAGGUGAAAUUCGUAGAUAUUCGGAAGAACACCAGUGGCGAAGGCGGCUCACUGGCUCGAUACUGACGCUGAGGUGCGAAAGUGUGGGGAGCAAACAGG
rnacentral:misc_RNA from 1 species